CGGGAGGCAGCAGUAGGGAUCUUUCCACAAUGGACGAAAGUCUGAUGGAGCAACGCCGCGUGAGUGAAGAAGGUUUUCGGAUCGUAAAACUCUGUUGUUGGAGAAGAAUGUAUCUGAUAGUAACUGAUCAGGUAGUGACGGUAUCCAACCAGAAAGCCACGGCUAACUACGUGCCAGCAGCCGCGGUAAUACGUAGGUGGCAAGCGUUGUCCGGAUUUAUUGGGCGUAAAGCGAGCGCAGGCGGUUUCUUAAGUCUGAUGUGAAAGCCUUCGGCUCAACCGAAGAAGUGCAUCGGAAACUGGGAAACUUGAGUGCAGAAGAGGACAGUGGAACUCCAUGUGUAGCGGUGAAAUGCGUAGAUAUAUGGAAGAACACCAGUGGCGAAGGCGGCUGUCUGGUCUGUAACUGACGCUGAGGCUCGAAAGCAUGGGUAGCAAACAGGAUUAGAUACCCUGGUAGUCCAUGCCGUAAACGAUGAGUGCUAGGUGUUGGAGGGUUUCCGCCCUUCAGUGCCGCAGCUAACGCAUUAAGCACUCCGCCUGGGGAGUACGACCGCAAGGUUGAAACUCAAAGGAAUUGACGGGGGCCCGCACAAGCGGUGGAGCAUGUGGUUUAAUUCGAAGCAACGCGAAGAACCUUACCAGGUCUUGACAUCCUUUGACCACUCUAGAGAUAGAGCUUUCCCUUCGGGGACAAAGUGACAGGUGGUGCAUGGUUGUCGUCAGCUCGUGUCGUGAGAUGUUGGGUUAAGUCCCGCAACGAGCGCAACCCUUAUUACUAGUUGCCAGCAUUUAGUUGGGCACUCUAGUGAGACUGCCGGUGACAAACCGGAGGAAGGUGGGGACGACGUCAAAUCAUCAUGCCCCUUAUGACCUGGGCUACACACGUGCUACAAUGGAUGGUACAACGAGUUGCGAGACCGCGAGGUUUAGCUAAUCUCUUAAAACCAUUCUCAGUUCGGAUUGUAGGCUGCAACUCGCCUACAUGAAGCCGGAAUCGCUAGUAAUCGCGGAUCAGCAUGCCGCGGUGAAUACGUUCCCGGGCCUUGUACACACCGCCCGUCACACCAUGAGAGUUUGUAACACCCAAAGCCGGGAGGUAACCCCUUUCGGGAGCCAGCC
rnacentral:rRNA from 1 species